CGGCGGGAUCCCUGCCUCAGCCCCGGCCGCACCGCCCGCCUUGGCAACCCCGCUCUCCUUCCGCGCCCGGGACAGGCGACGGCGCUCCCACCUCCCCUGCUCCCUCUCUCCUUCCCUCCCGGCGCUCUCCCUGCGGCCCGGGCUCUACCCGCCACAGCAACUUGACCCGCGGCGCCUGGGGACCCGCCCUCUACCACAGCGGAUUGGCUACCGCACCGGUUCAAACUGCCUGCAGUCCCGCCCACUAGGGCCAGCGCUGCCUGGGAUUCGCUGGCUGCCUUUCUGACGUCAGUGGCCGAGCAGUUCCUCGGCUAGGUCGAGCGCAGGGGGUCGUUAGCGCUCAUACUCGUUGGAACCGGUUGGGGUGAGGAUAGUGGAAGGGGCGGGCCUAAGAGCGCUGGGCGGCGAUUGGGGGAGAGGGACGGUUUAAAAAACCGCGGGGGCCCUCGCUAUUGGCUGCUGGGGUCUGCGCGCGGUUUCAUUGGGAGGAGCGGGGCUCUGUAGCGUGGUUUAAAAAUACAAAGGGAGUGAGGAGGACGGUGGGGUGUGUUCAAUUGGGGUAGCUGUGCAAGGGGAUGGGUAGCCGUGGGGCCCUGCCGUCGGUGGAGGACAGCUGUCCCUGUCUCAGCAUGGCAGCCGGAGAGCAUAGCGUCCCCUCGGCGCUUAUGCUUCUCCUGUCACGGAUAGUAGCCGGGGCGGGCCGCGGCUGGGAAAGCCACCAUCGCUCCCUCCCCUCGGGGCGGAGCGGUGAUCCCGCGGUUCUCCGAGCCUGGCGAGCAGCAGCCGCCACAGCUGUAAAACUGGGCUUUAAUUUUCGGGUGAGCUACCCGAGCGAGGCCUGCUCCGGGGUGGUGAUGGAAGGCCCCGAGCCGCCUUGCCGCGGGGUAAUGGCUAGCGAGGCACGGGGUUACAUGGCGGGGAGGGCUCGGGGUGCUGCCUAGGUGCCGGGCCCGGCUUGCAGCACCCGGCCAUCAGAAAGGCCUGGUGUGGAGGGGCCGCCUGCUCCUUCCUUUCUUGCUGGCAGGUCUGAUGGACGAUGCCGCGGAGGGCUGUGUUGGGAAGGGAAAGUGUCACCUGUCCGUGUUUUGUUCUUUCUGCAAAGGGAAAGCCGCAGCAGUGAGAGCCCGGCACAACGCUCAGUCCAACCUGUAAUGCCUGUGGUCUGAGUUAGUGUUCUUAAGUGAACUGCCAGCAGUGAACGUGGCCCAUUCGUUCUGGGGAUAAAACUAAAGUUUACGUACAGUCAUUCCGUUCGGUUUAUCGUGAUUUGACCGAUAUGGGCUUUGCUGAUGUUUGUUUUCUUCCGAUUGCUUUCAUCAAGUUCUCUAGCAAACAUCGGUUUAGGUAAAUACCCUUAGUCAUCUGAGCACCUUCUAACAGUCUUGCUUUUUCAGGUGUAGUUGAUAGCACUGAUGAAAAGCAGGUUAUAACUUUGCCUGCUGAAGAUGCCAUGACUUCAGUUGAGUUUUAAUCACAUUAACCUAGCUCAGUGGUAAAAAAAAAUAAACAAAACCCGGAAAGCAGAAAGAAUCCCUAAGAUAUGAGUGUGCUGAGUAACUGCAGGUGUGAGAGCAGUCAGUAUCUUGAUCUGUUGACUCCCCCCAAUUCCAGAUUUGCUCAGUGUAAGCAACACUCAAUAAGAAGCACUUAACAGGUUCAGUCCUUCAAGCUGUCUGUCGGUGUUUUACUUUUUUCUGUGUUGAUGUGUUCACAUAGAGUAGUUCACUAAUGUAGUAAAUGACUCCUUGAUCCCUGUUUUAUUUUAAGCUUUAUAUAUUUGCCCAAGCUGCAGCCUUAAUAGACAUAAUGUAACUAGGAAAAAGUUAGAAUCUGCUACAAAGCAUGGGUACCUGGGAGGCAAAUGGUCAGCACAAUACAGAGAGAUGUAGUCACUUUGUAGAUGUCAAAGCCUGUCAGAAGCCAGUUAUCCAAAUUCUUGUAUUGGCAGCCUUCUGUGGCUAUUCGUUUUGAUGGUGUUUAAUGUACAAACAAAGCUUACACUUCUAAAAUAAACAUUUACAGAGGA